AUUGAACGCUGGCGGCAGGCCUAACACAUGCAAGUCGAGCGGUAGCACAGAGAGCUUGCUCUCGGGUGACGAGCGGCGGACGGGUGAGUAAUGUCUGGGAAACUGCCUGAUGGAGGGGGAUAACUACUGGAAACGGUAGCUAAUACCGCAUAANGUCGCAAGACCAAAGUGGGGGACCUUCGGGCCUCAUGCCAUCAGAUGUGCCCAGAUGGGAUUAGCUAGUAGGUGGGGUAACGGCUCACCUAGGCGACGAUCCCUAGCUGGUCUGAGAGGAUGACCAGCCACACUGGAACUGAGACACGGUCCAGACUCCUACGGGAGGCAGCAGUGGGGAAUAUUGCACAAUGGGCGCAAGCCUGAUGCAGCCAUGCCGCGUGUGUGAAGAAGGCCUUCGGGUUGUAAAGCACUUUCAGCGGGGAGGAAGGCGNUNAGGUUAAUAACCUNGNCGAUUGACGUUACCCGCAGAAGAAGCACCGGCUAACUCCGUGCCAGCAGCCGCGGUAAUACGGAGGGUGCAAGCGUUAAUCGGAAUUACUGGGCGUAAAGCGCACGCAGGCGGUCUGUCAAGUCGGAUGUGAAAUCCCCGGGCUNAACCUGGGAACUGCAUUCGAAACUGGCAGGCUAGAGUCUUGUAGAGGGGGGUAGAAUUCCAGGUGUAGCGGUGAAAUGCGUAGAGAUCUGGAGGAAUACCGGUGGCGAAGGCGGCCCCCUGGACAAAGACUGACGCUCAGGUGCGAAAGCGUGGGGAGCAAACAGGAUUAGAUACCCUGGUAGUCCACGCCGUAAACGAUGUCGAUUUGGAGGUUGUGCCCUUGAGGCGUGGCUUCCGGAGCUAACGCGUUAAAUCGACCGCCUGGGGAGUACGGCCGCAAGGUUAAAACUCAAAUGAAUUGACGGGGGCCCGCACAAGCGGUGGAGCAUGUGGUUUAAUUCGAUGCAACGCGAAGAACCUUACCUGGUCUUGACAUCCACAGAACUUUCCAGAGAUGGAUUGGUGCCUUCGGGAACUGUGAGACAGGUGCUGCAUGGCUGUCGUCAGCUCGUGUUGUGAAAUGUUGGGUUAAGUCCCGCAACGAGCGCAACCCUUAUCCUUUGUUGCCAGCGGUNNGGCCGGGAACUCAAAGGAGACUGCCAGUGAUAAACUGGAGGAAGGUGGGGAUGACGUCAAGUCAUCAUGGCCCUUACGACCAGGGCUACACACGUGCUACAAUGGCAUAUACAAAGAGAAGCGACCUCGCGAGAGCAAGCGGACCUCAUAAAGUAUGUCGUAGUCCGGAUUGGAGUCUGCAACUCGACUCCAUGAAGUCGGAAUCGCUAGUAAUCGUAGAUCAGAAUGCUACGGUGAAUACGUUCCCGGGCCUUGUACACACCGCCCGUCACACCAUGGGAGUGGGUUGCAAAAGAAGUAGGUAGCUUAACCUUCGGGAGGGCGCUUACCACUUUGUGAUUCAUGACUGGGGUGAAG
rnacentral:rRNA from 1 species